rnacentral:rRNA from 1 species
UGCCAGCAGUCGCGGUUACACCAGGAAAUUAAGUCAUAUCUAUUGGUAAAAAGACAGUUAAACAAAUAAAAGUUAUAUAAUUUUUAAUAUAGGGGUGCAAUCCGAAUAUUAAUAAAUAAUCUAGUUAUAACUAUUUCAGUUGAAUCUGUGACAGCUUUAAGGGAAACUGGGAUUUGAUACCCCAUUAUUUUUAGUUGUAAAUUCAAUUUAAUUUAAUUUACCAGAGUACUACGAAUACAAAAUUUAAAACUCAAAGGGCUUGGCGGUAUUUUAGACCACUCAGGGGAACCUGUCUCGUAAUCGAUGAUCCACGCUAAACCUGACCUUUUUUUGCACUCAGCUUGUAUACCGUCGUCGUCAGGUAACUUCUAAAAAAUUAAAAGUUAGCGAAAAAAUUUAUAAAUUAUAAUGUCAGAUCAGGGUGCAGCUAAUAAAAAGGGGAGGAUGGGUUACAAUUAUGAAUCUUAAUUACGGAAGACUAUUAGAAUUAGCUAGUCUGAAGGAGGACUUGAAAGUAAUUUUAAGUAUAUAAAUUAUGUGAAUAAGGCUCUGAAAUGUGCACACAUCGCCCGUCGCUCU